GUCUUUUUGAUUAUAAUUUAAAGUCAAAUCUGCCCACUGAUAAAAAAUUAAAGGGCUGCAGUAUAUUGACUGUACAAAGGUAGCAUAAUCAAUAGUCUUUUAAUUGAAGACUUGUAUGAAAGAUUUAAUGAAAUAUAAUCUGUCUCUUUAUUAAAAUUAAAAUUUAAUUUUUUAGUAAAAAAGCUAAAAUAAAUUUAAAAGACGAGAAGACCCUAUAGAGUUUUAUAUUUAAUUUAAUAGUAUAUUUUUGUAAAUAUUUAAUAUAAAAUUAGAUUAAAUAUUUUAUUGGGGUGAUAAAAAAAUUUAAUUAACUUUUUUUAUAAAAAAAACAUUAAUAAAUGAGAAAAUGAUCCAUAAUUUAUGAUUAUAAGAAAAAAUUACCUUAGGGAUAACAGCGUAAUUUUUUUUUUUAGUUCAAAUAAGAAGAAAAGUUUGCGACCUCGAUGUUGGAUUAAGGUAAAAUUUAAAUGUAGAAGUUUAAAAGUUUUGAUCUGUUCGAUCAUUAAAAUCUU
rnacentral:rRNA from 1 species